ACCAACAUCAACUAACGACUUCAAGUGGCUAGGAUUUGUCGCUCUCAUCUGUUCGCAGUAGUGCCGACAAGGCCCGGGUUCAAUUCCCGGUGUCGGAA